rnacentral:rRNA from 1 species
CCUACGGGUGGCAGCAGUGAGGAAUAUUGCACAAUGGGGGAAACCCUGAUGCAGCGACGCCGCGUGAGUGAAGACGGCAUUCGGUAUGUAAAGCUCUAUCAGCAGGGAAGAAAAUGCCGGUACCUGUGUAAGAAGCCCCGGCUAACUACGUGCCAGCAGCCGCGGUAAUACGUAGGGGGCAAGCGUUAUCCGGAUUUACUGGGUGUAAAGGGAGCGUAGACGGCAGUGCAAGUCUGGAGUGAAAGGCGGGGGCUCAACCCCCGGACUGCCUUGGAAACUGUACGGCUGGAGUGCAGGAGAGGUAAGUGGAAUGCCUAGUGUAGCGGUGAAAUGCGUAGAUAUUAGGAGGAACACCAGUGGCGAAGGCGGCUUACUGGACUGUAACUGACGUUGAGGCUCGAAAGCGUGGGGAGCAAACAGGAUUAGAUACCCUGGUAGUC